GAAAGGGAGAGUAACGCGUGGAUGACCUACCCCCGAGUCCGGGAUAGCUGCGGGAAACUGCAGGUAAUACCGGAUAACAUCUCCGGAUCAAAGGUGUGAUUCCGCUUGGGGACGGGUCCGCGUCCUAUUAGCUUGUUGGUGGGGUAACGGCCUACCAAGGCAACGAUGGGUACCGGGCGUGAGAGCGUGGCCCGGCUCACUGGGACUGAGACACUGCCCAGACACCUACGGGUGGCUGCAGUCGAGAAUCUUCGGCAAUGAGCGCAAGCUUGACCGAGCGACGCCGCGUGCGGGAUGAAGGCCUUCGGGUUGUAAACCGCUGUCAGAGGGGAGGAAAUGCUGUGGGGUUCUCCCUGCAGUUUGACCUAUCCUCAGAGGAAGGACGGGCUAAGUUCGUGCCAGCAGCCGCGGUAAGACGAACCGUCCAAACGUUAUUCGGAAUCACUGGGCUUAAAGGGUGCGUAGGCGGUCCGGCAAGUUGGGUGUGAAAUCCCUCGGCUCAACCGAGGAAUGGCGCUCAAAACUGCCGGACUUGAGGGAGACAGAGGCGAGCGGAACUUAGGGUGGAGCGGUGAAAAUGCGUUGAUAUCCUAAGGAACACCUGUAGCGAAAGCGGCUCGCUGGGUCUCUUCUGACGCUCA
rnacentral:rRNA from 1 species